rnacentral:rRNA from 1 species
GUGGUAAUGCCGGAUGCUCCAUCACACUGCAUGGUGUGUUGGGAAAGCCUUUGCGGCAUGGGAUGGGGUCGCGUCCUAUCAGCUUGAUGGCGGGGUAACGGCCCACCAUGGCUUCGACGGGUAGCCGGCCUGAGAGGGCGACCGGCCACAUUGGGACUGAGAUACGGCCCAGACUCCUACGGGAGGCAGCAGUGGGGAAUAUUGCACAAUGGGCGCAAGCCUGAUGCAGCGACGCCGCGUGAGGGAUGGAGGCCUUCGGGUUGUAAACCUCUUUUGUUAGGGAGCAAGGCAUUUUGUGUUGAGUGUACCUUUCGAAUAAGCACCGGCUAACUACGUGCCAGCAGCCGCGGUAAUACGUAGGGUGCAAGCGUUAUCCGGAAUUAUUGGGCGUAAAGGGCUCGUAGGCGGUUCGUCGCGUCCGGUGUGAAAGUCCAUCGCUUAACGGUGGAUCCGCGCCGGGUACGGGCGGGCUUGAGUGCGGUAGGGGAGACUGGAAUUCCCGGUGUAACGGUGGAAUGUGUAGAUAUCGG